rnacentral:misc_RNA from 1 species
GUAGAAGGCGACUCACAGACUACAUGCCCGACGUUGGCCCAUUCACGUCACAUUGUGUACGCCAUGCUGGCGCUCCCCUCACACACGCGGGACUGGCCCCGAUAACGUUUUAAUGCGAUCAUGCACGCGCCCCCAGGUGCGCAUGGGCUGGUCAUGCUAAAGGAAGGCACCUCCACCCUGUCGAUCACAGAGUUUGAUGUGAGGACCACGUGCCCUUCAAUCAGUGCGGCAUCACAGAGGUGUCAUUGCGGGACCCCCAUUGGGAAGACUCCGAUGGGUCGCGGUGUUGCACCCGCAACGCAACCAUCAUGCACAUCUCUCGCGAAAUGACGUAGAUCUCGCCGGGGCGUGCGUGACGCUGCACGAAGAGGGCGAGCACAGGCACCUCACAUCGGUUCAGGAAUUCCGCUCCGUCUUUGAAGAGGUGUGAGUUUGAGAUGGCCGACUUGCGUGUACCCCCACAGCAGCCCCAGUGAUUGCCUUCCCGCCUCAGACGCAGUGGCCACCGCCUUACGGAGCUGCCGCGCCCACAAUGCGACGCCUACACGGCACAGGGCGCACCGAUGGCGCCCGCAUCCCCCCAAGGGUGACCGUGAGCAGAGGGAAGCAGCCGAAUGAGAGCACGCAUGUGCUCCCCACGCCUCGAACACGCGCCAUCUUGCUCCCGUGCAGGUUACCCGUCUCUCACAGCCUGAAGAGGAGGAGGGGCCAUCCUGCACGUCCUACAAGCCGUGCCCGAAACCAGCUUAUGGACGCCUACCAGUGGCCAAAGAAGAGCGGAGGGAGCCCCGUUGCACGCGGCACAGGGGAAGGCGAUGCACCUUGUCGAUCUGUGUGGCGAGAUGAGAAGCGAGAACCAGCAACGGAUGCGGUGCAUGGAAAGUACCCCCGACCAGUGCCCCCGCGCGUUCCCAGAAAGCGUCACUCCUCCGCCGCCGGUGACAGACGCGGAUGUCGAGGCCCCUCCCCUCAGUGGCAGCAAUCGUUAUGGUGUGCCCAGCGCAGCAGCGACCCCUCUCCUUGAAUGGGCCCCCACCGUCGUGGAAGAGAAGAAAGGACGUAUCGGACGGCGGCGCCCUCAUUCUCUGGCCGCGACAAGUCAACAGCUGGCCAGAUGAGCGGCGUUACAACGCGGAGGUGGGUCUGGAUGCGCAGCCAUGGGAGAACUCGUGCUCCACGACUGUGUGCGUGUGGGAGGGGGGGUGACAGAUCUGGAAAGGUCAUCUUUUUCAAGUGCUUCUUUCCGUGCAUCUGCGGCCGCUCUUGAGCCUGUGAACCGGGGACCGCUCCGUGCAUCAGCGAAGAGCGCACCCGAAUGAACUUGGCCGUUGGCCCAGUGGUGAUGCGGGUAGUGACAGCAACAUCGGCCUGCCAUCCUAUGUGUGCCGCGCGACCCGCCUCCGACAUUCACGUGAAGGUCUGCAUCGACAGCAUCCAACGGACGGGUGGUCGGCAGGCGGUGAAGACAGCUCUGCAGGCGACGCAAGCCGCAACCCCGCAUUUCACACGAGACGGGUGCUGGCUAACAGCAUGGCAAGGGGUGGGUGGUGAUGGAUAAGGAAGGGUGCACCCUGCACUGUCGUCGAAGGCAUUG